rnacentral:rRNA from 1 species
CCCUUAGAUGUUCUGGGCCGCACGCGCGCUACACUGAUGCAUUCAACGAGCCUAUCCUUGACCGACAGGUCCGGGUAAUCUUUGAAUCUGCAUCGUGACGGGGAUAGAUUAUUGCAAUUAUUAAUCUUCAACGAGGAAUGCCUAGUAAGCGUGAUUCAUCAAAUCGCGUUGAUUACGUCCCUGCCCUUUGUACACACCGCCCGUCGCUCCUACCGAUUGAGUGUGUUGGUGAGGAGUUCGGAUUGGCUCUUAGUGGUGGUUCGCCACCACCUAGAGCUGAGAAGUUCUCCAAACCGCCCCACUUAGAGGAAGGAGAAGUCGUAACA